rnacentral:lncRNA from 1 species
UGAAGUUCCGAAUGGAAGCUAUGAGGGGCUGGCCCGGUGGCACAGUGAGUGAGUUUGUGCAUCCUGCUUCCGAGGCCCAGGGUUUGCCGGUUCAGAUCCCAGUCAUGGACCUAUACACACUGCUUGUCAAGCCAUGCUGUGGCAGGCGUCCCACAUACAAAGUAGAGAAAGAUGGGCAUGGAUGUUAGCUCAGGGCCAAUCUUCCUCAAAGAAAAAAGAAAGGAUGCUAUGAUAUUCUCAACAUCCUCGACCUCUGAAGUCAUAAUUGGCACAUAAACUUGGUCUCAUCGUGGACCCACGGUUGGCCUCAGUCCCUUUGUAAAAUGAAUGAGAAACAAUUUAGAAGAUCUUUCUGCUUAAAUCUGCCAUUUCCUUCCCAGUGUGAGGUUUGGGUGGUCCCGUUGGAAAUGGCUCCAUUAGGCUUUGAUUUUGAGUCGGUUGCUUUUCUUCCCACUUCUGUCUCCACCUGGUGCCUGGAUGGCCCUUGGCCCCGGCCUCAGGGAACAGGCAGUGUGGGCAUCAGUCAGACAAAGCCUUGCCGGGAGCUUUGGGAGCAGCAGUGAAUUUCUCAUCCACGUUCUCACAGUUGAAGCCUGUGUUUUCUCAGUUUUGUUCUGUAUUACUAUUGGCUCCAAACAUUUAAUAUGUGGAUCGUCCCUUUGGUGACUGUUUCCCGCUUUCACAGGCAUAGUGACUUAUGAAAGAAGGAAAAUCGGCUGAGCAGCUAUAGAUUAAGUGGCCUGAGAGUGAGAGUCUGCGCGUCUCAUCCCCACCCCGCUUUCCGCUGGCCCUGUGGGCACAGAAUUUGCCUGGUACCGUCCAGGUGCUCAGGAGAUGACCACGCUCUCCUUUUCUUCCAGAAGGAGGAAGCUGUCUUCAGGUGCUGAGGGCCACCCUGGAGCUGGAAUGGAUUUUCAGAGAUACCUCGAAUCAGGGCACAAGGGCUGAGUCUUUAUACGCCACGUGGACCAGUAUUACUAAUUGAUGUAGGAUGGCCCCACAAGGGAGGCAUCACCUGGUCAUAUUCCAGCCUUUAGAUUCUGAAAACAUGUUAAAGGAUGUGUUUGGCCAUUUGUAGUACAAAUGGGUUUGCAUACAGGCGCAAAGGGGCAAACCCAAAGCCCUCAGGGUCUGAUGCCCCAAGAAGGUUUCUUAUGAUUAUUGCCUUGAAGACGUUGUCUGUGGAUGACACUAGUACCCGCACUUCCUAGUAACAGGGCAUUUGUCUC